CAACAACUAUGGUCUAUAUGGCCUAUUUGAGAUUGAAGCUAUUAUGUGAAGAUAUAUGAUGAAGUUCACCAUAAGCUCUAUUUUCUUCAAUGUUUUUCUCAUUAUAACUCUUGUAUUUCAAACUCAUGCAAGCAAAAUCAAUUAUAGAAGCAACAAGUACAAAGCCUUAUUCAUUUUUGGAGAUUCUUUCUUAGAUGCUGGCAAUAACAAUUACAUAAACACCACAAGCCUUGAUCAAGCAAAUUUCUUGCCUUAUGGAGAAACCUAUUUCAAGUUCCCAACUGGUAGAUUCUCGGAUGGUCGUUUGAUAUCUGAUUUUAUUGCUGAAUACGCAAAUAUUCCACUAGUUCCACCAUUUCUACAACCUGGCUAUAACCAAUACUACAAUGGAGUGAAUUUUGCAUCUGGUGGAGCAGGUGCACUUGUUGAAACUUUCCAAGGGUCGGGAAUUCCUUUCAAAACACAAGCAAGAAACUUCAAGAAAGUAACAGCUUGGUUGAGGCACAAGUUAGGCAGUUCUGAUUCCAAAACAUUGUUAUCAAAUGCUGUCUACAUGUUUAGCAUUGGAUCUAAUGAUUAUCUUAGUCCAAUCUUGACAAAUUCUAAUGUUCUAAAGUACUAUUCUCAUUCAGAAUAUGUUAGCAUGGUUGUUGGUAACUUCACUUCCACUAUCAAGGAAAUACAUAAAAGUGGGGCUAGAAAAUUUGCAAUCUUGAACUUACCACCAUUAGGUUGUCUUCCAGGAACUAGAAUAAUUCAAUCACAAGGGAAAGUUAGCUGCUUAAAAGAGCUUUCAUCACUUACAAGUAUACAUAAUCAAGCUCUUUAUGUGGCUCUCUUAGAAUUGGAGAAACAAUUAAGGGACUUCAAAUUUACUCUCUAUGAUUUGAACUCUGAUAUCACUCAAAUGAUCAACGAUCCCUUAAAAUAUGGUUUGAAGGAAGGAAAAUCAGCAUGUUGUGGGAGUGGGUCAUUUAGAGGAAAAUAUAGUUGUGGUGGAAAAAGAGGAGAGAAACACUUUGAAUUAUGUCACAAACCAAAUGAACAUUUAUUUUGGGAUUCUUACCAUCUUACAGAAAAUGCUUAUAAACAAUUGGCAGCUCGAAUGUGGGAUCAUACUGGAAAUUCUCACACUAUUGGGAAUUAUAUUAUCAGUGAUUUCUUCCAAUAAACUCAGAAAUGUUUCAGAAGCUAGAGAAGCAGCUAAUGGGAUUCUAAUAAUCAAUCAAGUAAUGAAAUACCCUUCAAUUUAUGGCUUCAAAGAAGCAAGUAUAACACGUAGUGGAAGUGGCCCUUACAGAGGAGAAAGCAGGUGUGGAGCAGUGGAGGGAAGGAACAAAGGGAUAAAAGAAUGAGUUAUGUGAGUGACAAUGUGAGUGAACAUGUUUUCUUUGACUCUCAUCAUCCUACAGACUACAGACAAAGCUUAUCAAUAUUUCACCAAAUGGAUAUGGAAUGGAAAUGUCACAUGGCCUUGCAAGUUGCAAUCUAAAACACCUAUUGUAAAUUAUCAAUGAGGUUGAUGGUUCUCACUACACACUUCUCUGCUAAUCUAAAUUUCUUGAUAUAUGUUAUAAAAAAGAAAGUAAUUUGCUAAAUAUUAAUUAUGAUAUCUAGUUAAUAUUAGCUAAUCUCUGCAUGAAAGUGAAGUGGCCAGCAAUGUGACCACCCGAUCCAUCUGAAUGCAGAUCAUUCCAAGCGUGUUACUUACUUAUUUAUGACCUCGACAAAUAAUAUGAUGAAAAGAAUAGGCCUAGAACAAACAAGUACAAAAUCACAAUAAUGGCAGAUGCAAACACUAAUUGCAAUAGCAAUCCACAUAAGAUACACAUCAUUCUCAGAACUAAGACAAAGUGUGCGAACUAACAUUAUAGCCAGUUUUGGUUCUUUCUUGUGUGCAAUGUUGCUUAUCAUUCUCAGAACAGUAAGUUGCUAUUCUGCUAAGCCUAACAAAAGGGAACAACACUAAGCCACUAAGUUUGGUCUAGUGGCGAGGGGUUUGAGUAGUAUGCAUGAUGUCUUAGGU